GAUGAAGAACGUAGCAAAAUGCGAUAAGUAAUGUGAAUUGCAGAAUUCAGUGAAUCAUCGAAUCUUUGAACGCACAUUGCGCCCGCCAGUAUUCUGGCGGGCAUGCCUGUUCGAGCGUCAUUUCAACCCUCAAGCCCCCGGGUUUGGUGUUGGGGAUCGGCGAGCCUCACGGCAAGCCGGCCCCGAAAUACAGUGGCGGUCUCGCUGCAGCUUCCAUUGCGUAGUAGUAAAACCCUCGCAACUGGUACGCGGCGCGGCCAAGCCGUUAAACCCCCAACUUCUGAAUGUUGACCUCGGAUCAGGUAGGAAUACCCGCUGAACUUAAGCAUAUCAUAAGCGGAGGA
rnacentral:misc_RNA from 1 species